rnacentral:misc_RNA from 1 species
AACAAGGCGUACCUGCGGACCUGCGGAGGGAUCAUUACAAGUGACCCCGGUCUAACCACCGGGAUGUUCAUAACCCUUUGUUGUCCGACUCUGUUGCCUCCGGGGCGACCCUGCCUUCGGGCGGGGGCUCCGGGUGGACACUUCAAACUCUUGCGUAACUUUGCAGUCUGAGUAAACUUAAUUAAUAAAUUAAAACUUUUAGCAACGGAUCU